rnacentral:rRNA from 1 species
UACAGAGGUCUCAAGCGUUGUUCGGAUUCAUUGGGCGUAAAGGGUGCGUAGGCGGCGCGGUAAGUCGGGUGUGAAAUCUUGGAGCUUAACUCCGAAACUGCAUUCGAUACUGCCGUGCUUGAGGACUGGAGAGGAGACUGGAAUUUACGGUGUAGCGGUGAAAUGCGCAGAUAUCAGGAGGAACACCGGUGGCGAAGGCGGGUCUCUGGGCCGAUGACUGACGCUGAGGAGCGAAAGCGUGGGGAGCGAACAGG